rnacentral:rRNA from 1 species
GCNCCNAACGNUGUGGGNCACUNNCUCAAANACAUGCAAGUNCGAACGAUGAAGCCCUUCGGGGUGGAUUAGUGGCGAACGGGUGAGUAACACGUGGGCAAUCUGCCCUUCACUCUGGGACAAGCCCUGGAAACGGGGUCUAAUACCGGAUAANACUCCUGCCUGCAUGGGCGGGGGUUGAAAGCUCCGGCGGUGAAGGAUGAGCCCGCGGCCUAUCAGCUUGUUGGUGGGGUAAUGGCCCACCAAGGCGACGACGGGUAGCCGGCCUGAGAGGGCGACCGGCCACACUGGGACUGAGACACGGCCCAGACUCCUACGGGAGGCAGCAGUGGGGAAUAUUGCACAAUGGGCGAAAGCCUGAUGCAGCGACGCCGCGUGAGGGAUGACGGCCUUCGGGUUGUAAACCUCUUUCAGCAGGGAAGAAGCGAAAGUGACGGUACCUGCAGAAGAAGCGCCGGCUAACUACGUGCCAGCAGCCGCGGUAAUACGUAGGGCGCAAGCGUUGUCCGGAAUUAUUGGGCGUAAAGAGCUCGUAGGCGGCUUGUCACGUCGGAUGUGAAAGCCCGAGGCUUAACCUCGGGUCUGCAUUCGAUACGGGCUAGCUAGAGUGUGGUAGGGGAGAUCGGAAUUCCUGGUGUAGCGGUGAAAUGCGCAGAUAUCAGGAGGAACACCGGUGGCGAAGGCGGAUCUCUGGGCCAUUACUGACGCUGAGGAGCGAAAGCGUGGGGAGCGAACAGGAUUAGAUACCCUGGUAGUCCACGCCGUAAACGUUGGGAACUAGGUGUUGGCGACAUUCCACGUCGUCGGNGCCGCAGCUAACGCAUAANUUCCCCGCCUGGGGNUACGGCCGCAGGCUAAACUCAAAGNAUUGACGGGGGCCNCNCAACGGCGGACNUGGG